UAAGACGAACCACACGAACGUUAUUCGGAAUUACUGGGCUUAAAGGGUGCGUAGGCGGCGCAGAAAGUUGGGUGUGAAAUCCCUCGGCUCAACCGAGGAACUGCGCCCAAAACUACUGUGCUUGAGGAAGAUAGAGGUAAGCGGAACUUACGGUGGAGCGGUGAAAUGCGUUGAUAUCGUAAGGAACACCUGUGGCGAAAGCGGCUUACUGGGUCUUUUCUGACGCUGAUGCACGAAAGCCAGGGGAGCAAACGGG
rnacentral:rRNA from 1 species